rnacentral:rRNA from 1 species
UGCAAGUCGAGGGGCAGCAUGGUCUUAGCUUGCUAAGGCCGAUGGCGACCGGCGCACGGGUGAGUAACACGUAUCCAACCUGCCGUCUACUCUUGGACAGCCUUCUGAAAGGAAGAUUAAUACAAGAUGGCAUCAUGAGUCCGCAUGUUCACAUGAUUAAAGGUAUUCCGGUAGACGAUGGGGAUGCGUUCCAUUAGAUAGUAGGCGGGGUAACGGCCCACCUAGUCUUCGAUGGAUAGGGGUUCUGAGAGGAAGGUCCCCCACAUUGGAACUGAGACACGGUCCAAACUCCUACGGGAGGCAGCAGUGAGGAAUAUUGGUCAAUGGGCGAGAGCCUGAACCAGCCAAGUAGCGUGAAGGAUGACUGCCCUAUGGGUUGUAAACUUCUUUUAUAAAGGAAUAAAGUUGGGUAUGGAUACCCGUUUGCAUGUACUUUAUGAAUAAGGAUCGGCUAACUCCGUGCCAGCAGCCGCGGUAAUACGGAGGAUCCGAGCGUUAUCCGGAUUUAUUGGGUUUAAAGGGAGCGUAGAUGGAUGUUUAAGUCAGUUGUGAAAGUUUGCGGCUCAACCGUAAAAUUGCAGUUGAUACUGGAUAUCUUGAGUGCAGUUGAGGCAGGCGGAAUUCGUGGUGUAGCGGUGAAAUGCUUAGAUAUCACGAAGAACUCCGAUUGCGAAGGCAGCCUGCUAAGCUGCAACUGACAUUGAGGCUCGAAAGUGUGGGUAUCAAACAGGAUUAGAUACCCUGGUAGUCCACACGGUAAACGAUGAAUACUCGCUGUUUGCGAUAUACUGCAAGCGGCCAAGCGAAAGCGUUAAGUAUUCCACC